CCCAGACUCCUACGGGAGGCAGCAGUGGGGAAUAUUGCACAAUGGGGGAAACCCUGAUGCAGCGACGCCGCGUGAGUGAGGAAGUAUUUCGGUAUGUAAAGCUCUAUCAGCAGGGAAGAAAAAAUGACGGUUCCUGACUAAGAAGCACCGGCUAAAUACGUGCCAGCAGCCGCGGUAAUACGUAUGGUGCAAGCGUUAUCCGGAUUUACUGGGUGUAAAGGGAGCGCAGGCGGUACGGCAAGUCUGAUGUGAAAGCCGGGGGCACAACCCCGGCGAGCCGUUGAAACUGGCUGUCUUGAGAUGUCGAGAGGUAUGCGGAAUGCGCAGUGUAGCGGUGAAAUGCUUAGAUAUUGCGCAGAACUCCGAUUGCGAAGGCAGCAUACCGGCGGCGAUCUGACGCUGAGGCACGAAAGCGUGGGUAUCGAACAGGAUUAGAUACCCUAGUA
rnacentral:rRNA from 1 species